UUAUAUUUUGCUUAAGUCUCUCUUUACUAAAACCCCACAGCAGCAUUCAAGAAAUACAAUCAAUCAGAAAACAGAGAAGUCAAAAGUCCCAUACUCCUCUAGUACGCAGGGCCGGUGCAAGGAGUUUUGCCGCCUUAGGCAAAACAUUUUUUGCCAUCCCCCUAAAUGUCCUGACCACCAUGUGACAUCGCAAUGCCCCGCCCAUAUGCUCUGCCAUAUGGGCCAACGCCAGUCUGCACAAAGUGUCUUUAUCUGAAAAGACAGUGUGUUUACAUUACAGGGUAUAGAUACGAGAACCACUACAUUAAGCUGU